GAUGAACGCUAGCGGCAGGCUUAAUACAUGCAAGUCGAGGGGUAACAGGUCCCGCAAGGGAUGCUGACGACCGGCAAACGGGUGCGGAACACGUACGCAACCUUCCCAAAACUGGUGAAUAGCCCUCCGAAAGGAGGAUUAAUACACCGUAAGAUAAUGGAGUGGCAUCACUCUAUUAUUAUAGCUACGGCGGUUUUGGAUGGGCGUGCGCCUGAUUAGGUAGUUGGCGGGGUAACGGCCCACCAAGCCUGCGAUCAGUAACUGGUGUGAGAGCACGACCAGUCACACGGGCACUGAGACACGGGCCCGACUCCUACGGGAGGCAGCAGUAAGGAAUAUUGGUCAAUGGACGCAAGUCUGAACCAGCCAUGCCGCGUGAAAGGAUGAAGGUCCUCUGGAUUAGUAAACUUUCUUUUAUCGUGGGAACGAAAAAAGGGUAAUUCCUUUUCCCACUUUGACGGUACCAGAGGAAUAAGCACCGGCUAACUCCGUGCCAGCAGCCGC
rnacentral:rRNA from 1 species